ACGGAAGGCAGCAGUGAGGAAUAUUGGUCAAUGGGCGAGAGCCUGAACCAGCCAAGUCGCGUGAAGGAUGAAGGUUCUAUGGAUUGUAAACUUCUUUUAUUCGAGGGUAAAGUGAGCCACGUGUGGUUUAUUGCAAGUAUCGAAUGAAUAAGCAUCGGCUAACUCCGUGCCAGCAGCCGCGGUAAUACGGAGGAUGCGAGCGUUAUCCGGAUUUAUUGGGUUUAAAGGGUGCGUAGGCGGGUUAUUAAGUCUGUGGUAAAAGCGUGUGGCUCAACCAUACCAAGCCAUGGAAACUGGUGAUCUUGAGUGUAAACGAGGUAGGCGGAAUGUGAUGUGUAGCGGUGAAAUGCUUAGAUAUGUCACAGAACCCCGAUUGCGAAGGCAGCUUACCAGCAUACGACUGACGCUGAGGCACGAAAGCGUGGGUAUCAAACAGGAUUAGAUACCCUGGUA
rnacentral:rRNA from 1 species